AGUGAACGCUGGCGGUAGGCCUAACACAUGCAAGUCGAACGGCAGCACAGUAAGAGCUUGCUCUUACGGGUGGCGAGUGGCGGACGGGUGAGGAAUACAUCGGAAUCUACUUUUUCGUGGGGGAUAACGUAGGGAAACUUACGCUAAUACCGCAUACGACCUACGGGUGAAAGCAGGGGAUCUUCGGACCUUGCGCGAUUGAAUGGGCCGAUGUCGGAUUAGCUAGUUGGCGGGGUAAAGGCCCACCAAGGCGACGAUCCGUAGCUGGUCUGAGAGGAUGAUCGGCCACACUGGAACUGAGACACGGUCCAGACUCCUACGGGAGGCAGCAGUGGGCAAUAUUGGACAAUGGGCGCAAGCCUGCUCCAGCCAUACCGCGUGGGUGAAGAAGGCCUUCGGGUUGUAAAGCCCUUUUGUUGGGAAAGAAAAGCAGCAGGUUAAUACCCCGCUGUUCUGACGGUACCCAAAGAAUAAGCACCGGCUAACUUCGUG
rnacentral:rRNA from 1 species